AAAUAAUCUCUCACUAGCCUGAGAAACACUUUGAGAACUCUUGUUUUACAUGUGAUGUUGGCUGUGCAGCUCACACAGCAUGGUUGAGAGCUCUCAGCUCUAUUUUCAGCGGCUGUUGGUAGUAGUGACAACUAAACAAAGAAGACUAGAAUUUCAACAAUGCUGUCUGUCCCAACUCAACAGGCAUGACAAAGCAGUUUUCGAUAUACUGUAUCAGUAAAGAUGGUAAAUACACAGGGAAAUGUUUGAAAUAGGAAUAGCCUACCCACUCCCAGGGUGUAACGAAGACAGGCAUCCAGUGGCAAAGCAAAUGCUCCCUAUUUAGGCUGGAGGGCCUGUCUUUAGCCAGAACACGAAACAUAAAUGGGAAGGCAAGGACUACACUGACGUAGUAAGCAUUUACUUGGGAGACUUGACCUGAAAAAAGGAGCAGUCAAAACAGGAAAAAGUCAAGGACCUCUCAAAUAACAUCCUAUUUGCCUGUAGAGAGAGACAGCCCUAAUUUGAUAGAAAGGGCUACUACCCAAGGUCAAGAUGUUGUCUGCAGGUGACUAAGAUUUGCAUUUGGCCUGGACACAGUACCAUGUACUGUUACCAUGGGGAUCACAGAGACAAGGAAUAUAGAAUGCCUAUGUAAACUGUAAAGUGUAAUACCAAUUUGAUGGUGGUGGUUUUUCAGCAUGACUCAGGGGGUGCAAACUCCAAAAGGUCUAACUUGGAAUGUGACUUAGGAACUCUGGCCAGUCUCCCUUGCUCAGAUCUGAAACUGGGAAAUUUUCAAAACCCAAAACCUUG
rnacentral:lncRNA from 1 species